CGACGCGAGCCAGGUGGGCCGAGCGCCGAUCGGGAUUCACGAGUUUUUAAUUCCUGGUUCUCCACUGCUCGGUGCGACGAGAGAUUCUGAGAGAGCGCGUGGCGUUAGAUCUCGUUUUCUUGUUCUUCGCGUUCCGAGAUCUCCCGAAGGUCUCCAACUUCCCCCGGGAAACCCUAGCUUUCCCUCGAGUCUCCUGUUCGUAGAUCUCUCCGAUGGCGAUCUCUCGAUGGCUGGCGGUCCUCCCGUGGAUCGCGCUGGCACUCGUGCUCUCCUCCGUCACCGGCGGCCACUGCUUCUAUCUCCCCGGCGUCGCACCCGCGGAUUUCCAGAAGAAAGAUCCACUUUAUGUGAAGGUGAACAAAUUAACUUCCACAAAAACUCAGCUUCCAUACUCCUAUUAUUCACUACCUUAUUGUAGACCAGAUACUAUAGUCGACAGUGCAGAGAAUCUUGGGGAAGUUCUUCGUGGUGAUCGUAUUGAAAACUCUCCCUACGUGUUUGAGAUGAGAGAGCCACACAUGUGUCAAAUUGUUUGCAAGAUUACACUCAAUGACAAAGAUGCCAAAGACCUUAAGGAAAAGAUAGAGGAUGAGUAUCGGGUCAACAUGGUUCUUGACAAUCUUCCUCUAGUUGUUCCUAUAAAAAGACUCGAGCAGGAUUCCCCUACAGUGUAUCAACAUGGGUUCCAUGUUGGUGUCAAAGGCCCAUAUACUGGGAGCAAGGAUGAAAAGUAUUUUAUCCACAAUCAUUUAUCUUUUGUAGUUAAGUAUCAUAGGGAUGUUCAAGCAGAUCUUGCAAGGAUCGUGGGAUUUGAGGUUAAGCCAUUCAGUGUUAAACAUGAGUAUGAAGGUGACUGGAAUGGUGUUAACACGCGCCUGAGCACCUGUGAUCCCCAUGCCAAACGCUUGGUUGUGAAUUCUGAUUCUCCCCAAGAGGUUGAAGCAAAGAAGGAGAUUGUACUCACAUAUGAUGUUGCAUUUGAGGAGAGUGAAGUGAAAUGGGCAUCUCGAUGGGAUACCUAUCUUCUGAUGACUGAUGACCAAAUUCACUGGUUCUCCAUUGUCAAUUCCUUGAUGAUCGUACUCUUCCUUUCUGGGAUGGUGGCCAUGAUCAUGCUGCGAACCCUUUACCGUGACAUUUCCAAGUACAACCAGCUGGAAACUCAAGAAGAAGCUCAAGAGGAGACAGGAUGGAAGCUUGUCCAUGGGGAUGUCUUCAGGCCCCCGGCAAAGUCGGACUUACUGUGUGUAUAUGUUGGCACAGGUGUUCAAUUCUUUGGUAUGCUUCUUGUAACCAUGAUGUUUGCUGUUCUUGGCUUCCUUUCUCCAUCAAACCGAGGAGGAUUAAUGACAGCCAUGCUUCUACUUUGGGUCUUCAUGGGGCUUUUUGCUGGAUACUCCUCUGCCCGUCUCUACAAGAUGUUUAAGGGUACAGAAUGGAAGAAAAUCACCCUCAGGACGGCAUUCAUGUUCCCUGGCAUUGUCUUUGGUAUCUUUUUUGUCUUGAAUGCCCUAAUAUGGGGGCAGAAGUCCUCUGGUGCUGUGCCCUUCACCACAAUGUUUGCCCUUGUAUUGCUGUGGUUUGGUAUCUCGGUGCCUCUUGUGUUUGUGGGCAGCUAUGUGGGGUCCAAGAAGCCAGCAAUGGAGGAUCCCGUGAAGACAAACAAAAUCCCCAGGCAGAUACCUGAACAGGCUUGGUACAUGAAUCCAAUUUUCUCAGUACUGAUUGGAGGCAUCCUUCCAUUUGGAGCUGUCUUCAUCGAGCUUUUCUUCAUCCUUACAUCCAUUUGGCUGCACCAGUUCUACUACAUUUUUGGGUUCCUCUUUCUCGUAUUUCUCAUCCUUAUUGUCACCUGUGCUGAGAUCACGAUUGUGCUGUGUUAUUUCCAGCUGUGCAGUGAGGAUUACUUGUGGUGGUGGAGGUCGUAUCUGACCUCUGGAUCUUCUGCACUGUAUCUUUUCCUCUAUGCGACCUUCUACUUCUUCACAAAGCUGGAGAUCACAAAGCCAGUCUCUGGCAUUUUAUACUUUGGUUACAUGCUAAUUGCCUCAUAUGCCUUCUUUGUACUGACUGGCACAAUUGGCUUCUAUGCGUGCUUCUGGUUCACAAGACUGAUAUACUCAUCUGUGAAGAUAGACUAAAAGCUUGGUUGGGCCGUAUGUGUUGUAUGCACAAGUGAUAUUCAACACUGCAGGAUGGAGCAUGCGAAAAUUGUUCACGCUGUUAUUCGACACCAUUUGCUCGCAAAGGAUAGGGCUACGAGGGCUGAGGAUUAGGAGUGGUUCUUCUCUUUUUGGUUCAUGAAGUCUGGGUGCUCAUAUUUCAGGUCUGGCGCUAGGAGGAAGACGACCACGUCCGAGUUUUCAAUCUCCCCCUGAGGAUGAGCCUUUCCUCAUUUUCACUAUCGUACCAUCAGAGCCGCUAGAGGAUACUGCAGAGGCAGACAAUUCAGUGUAGGUGGUGAGGCGAGGGUGAAGUCCGUCAAAGAAUCUCACCCUGGAGCAUUGGAGAUGUGAGCACGAGGGACAUCGUCUCCGUAUCGAGAUUUCGUCCGGCUUCACCACGCACAUUAGGGGAUAGUGCGAGCUAUGGUGGACUGAGCUGGGUAUCAUAUGCUGCAGCUAUGCUCCUGUGAUGCUCUCCGAUUAAUAUCAUGUUACAUCGACUUAGAGGGAGAUCUUUUAUAGUCAUUUACAGAUAAAAUAAUAUUUAGUAAAAUAUUUAAUUAGUACUGUAUUCUUAUAAUAUUUAUUAUUGGCAGGCUGUAUUUGAUAUGUUGAUUUUAAGCAUGAUUACAUGCGUGUAGGAUCAGAGGGUGGAGGCAGUGCGGCAGCAGCCAUAUGAUAGCAUCAGUAUCGAGGACUGGACUGUCAUAUACCGCAGGAUCGAUGUGCCCGAAAUGCCGUCAAUCGGGCAAGACAGACCAUCUCGCACUGUGGGGGUUCAAGGCCGUUCGCUCGCCUUAUAGAAAAGAUGUAGAGAGUGACGAGCUUCCUGAUAGGAUCGAGAUCUACCAGCAGACCCACUAGUAAUGGUCAGGGGAGUGGACGGUAGGGAGCCAAGAGCUUAUGAUCGUAUGAUAGAGAUGAGAUCCCAACCUACCCUUGAGGGCUUGACUGCAUCUACAAAUGAGGAGAUCUGUGAUCAGAUGCUUGGUACAAGACCCUGUUAUAUUAGGAGGCUAGGAUAUGGGAUGAGAGCUCCUCCAUCCUUAUGCUCGUCUAGGGUUGACAUUCAUGUUGCCUGCGAUGUCUGACUGACGAAGAUACAGAGACAGAUUGCUGAGGAUCAACAGUGAGCUGUUGAGUUGACUGCACGCGUUGAUUCCUACCAGUCAUUUCAGAUACAGAUGAUGGAGUGGAUGGCACAGAUGAAGCAGAUGAUGGAGCUGAUAAGGCAGCAGUAAGUCGAUCCGUCGUGCUCCAUCGUUCUCCUUCUUCAGAUGCUGAUGCUUGAUGGCUAGUUACUUAUUUUCAUAUUUUUUAUUUUAUUUUAGACCUCUUGUAAUUAUUAAAUUUAUUUUUUUAUAAUUAUAUUUUAAUAUAAUGAAAUGAUCAAAUUUAUUUAU